rnacentral:rRNA from 1 species
GACGAACGCUGGCGGCAGGCCUAACACAUGCAAGUCGAGCGGAGCGGCGGACGGGUGAGUAAUGCCUAGGAAUCUGCCUGGUAGUGGGGGAUAACGUCCGGAAACGGGCGCUAAUCCCGCAUACUAUCAGAUGAGCCUAGGUCGGAUUAGCUAGUUGGUGGGGUAAAGGCCUACCAAGGCGACGUGCCGUAACUGGUCUGAGAGGAUGAUCAGUCAACCUGGAACUGGAACAGGGUCCAGAUCCCUACGGGGGGCAGCAGAGGGGAAUAUUGGACAAGGGGCGAAAGCCUGAUCCAGCCAUGCGGGGGGGGUGAAGAAGGUCUUCGGAUGGUAAAGCACGUUAAGUUGGGAGGCGUUACCAACAGAAUAAGCACCGGCUAACUUCGUGCAAGCAGCCGCGGUAAUA